AACUGCGUUUAAGGAGCGCGCCGCGUUUCUAGCGACCUUUCCACCCGCGCGGUUGGGUUGCAAUGCUGACAACAACCCUGGAAGGGGAAGUGUUACCCAGCGUUCCGAGGAGAUCGCACCCUCCCUUGGCUUCAGCAGAGUAGCCGUAUCAUGUAUGGUGCAAGGAGAGCAUCUUCACUUCUGUGCCGCUCCAGAUAAUAAUUCGUACAGAUGCAAAGUUUUGCAGCCUCACGUUGAUUCUUGGGCGGCUUCUCAAAUUUGGUCCGAUCUCCAUCUGCUGAAAAAGCUCCACCUCUUUUAGAAGUGUUGUAAGGGCCGCAUGACUACUUCGCAGUUUGAUAAAUGUUAAUGAGGUAAAGAAGCAGA